GGCGGCGGCGGCGGCGGCGGCCGCCACACCUGAGGUAGAGCAGGUGUGGGCCACUCCCGAGGCCUCCCCAUCGGAGGCGUCCCGGCAGGAGCUUCCCCAUGGGAGCCGAUCCAUGGAGGAGCAGCACCAGCAGGGGAAGAAGAGAAAGCAGAAGACACGUGGUGGUCGCCGCGUCACCAAGAGAGCUCGCCUUUCUAAUGAAGAGUCUCACGCUGGUGAGCGACCACCAGGAGCAGCUGCUCUUCCCCGUGAGUAUGUUCUAGAAUAAAAGCGUACAUUGAAGGUUUGGAGAGUUUAAUGUCUUUUCUUGUCCUGGAGGUACCUAACUGCACAGUCGUGAAACUGAACAAAGUAACUGAUGCAUUUUUAAUCCGUUGACUGAAAGACGGCAGUGGAAUGAGAGGCUCAUUGUCAUGCUUUCCCUGUAGUUAUGGGCUUGGGCAACAUGGGAGGCCUGAUGAGAGGAGGCGGCAUGUAGUAAAACUUUCAGUCGACCUACAUUUGGUCUUUCCAGACAGAAUGUGAUUCCUUCCAAAAUCACGAAACAUGACUGUUCCUACUUUUGAACAACAAUGUGAAACUGUAGCAGCAGUUUUGUGCUCCAUCACAGAGUAUUCAAAGAGAAACACUAUUCAAUGGGAUUUAUUUUGUAAGGAGAAGUUUAUCUGUACAUUGUGCCCUCUGUGUUAACGUCUUUAAGGAUGGGCAGAAUGAAUGGUAAGGACGUUUUGGAAACCUACUCAGCACUCCAGAACAAGCGUGGAACAGUUUCACAUUUAGCUGCAUGUCUGGUUGUUUCAUCUCGUGCAUUGUCAGAGAUGGACUGUGGGAUUGGAGGUGCUUUUGACAGGGAAUGUGGGCCAAAUGUAAUGGGAAUGUCUCGCAGUAAGUUUGGAGACUCCUUUGAAAGAGGAAGGGGUUGGUAUUUAUAGGGUUUUAUUUGAAAGCCACUGAUGCUUACUUCCACUCAUGCAUUUUGUUUCUUCUCUUCUGUUUGCUCACU